rnacentral:rRNA from 1 species
AUGUUUGCAAUGACUCGUUCGUCGUUAUUUAAAUUUUUGAUUAGUCUGAUGGUCCUUUAUAAUGUUUGUGCAAUCUAUAAGAAUAAUUCCAUGUGCAUAUGUAAUUUACCACCAAAAUCAGUAACUAAGGGGAAAGACUACGUCCUACUUUCCGGGAAGCUUAAUGAUCAGGAUCGGAACUUAUCAUCUGUGGGACAAGUGGUGGUGGAGGUAAAAGCCAUGAUCAGAACUUUGAGUGAGUUCACCUGGGUCCGAAGGACAGCAAAUGGUGCUGCCCAUUUGCUGGCACGCUUAGGAAUAAGCAGUAGAGCAUCAGUGGUGCUUUGGGACUUAGUUCCCCUGAUUGUAUUCUUAGCGUUGUAUCAGAUGAAAUUCCUAAUUUAG